AUGAGGAAUAAAGCUUGCCCAGAGAAGAGGCUUGCCAAACCAUGUGGUCGUGUCCACCCGGAGGAUGCAGCUUUCUCCACUGUGUACAAGGGCGUUAUAUGGACUAGCUGUCGCCCUAGAUGUUUUUUUAAAUUGUUCACAUCAUCUCACAUAAUAUUUUCACAGUUUGGGCUUUUCAAAAUUGAACUUCCUAAGUACUUAACUACUCAAAUUCUUUUAAUCCAAUAUUUAUAUGAAUACCCAAAAUAAUCAAGAAAUGAAAUCAAACAAGUAUGCUAAACAAAAGCCAUUUGAGUUUCACAAUAAAUAGUCAUUUUAUGUGCGGCAAAUAAACCCAGGGAAUUACUAGUGUUGGUAUCUUUUGAGAACAUUUUUUUCCUUUGUGACUUUGGUUUAUGCAAAUAACUAUAUCUUAUGAGCUCAUAUCCUGAAGCUACAACUUGAUGCCUGAGGAUUGAUUCUUGUAUUCCCUUUAAUCUUCCUCCAGUCUGACCUGGUACUUACAUAGUUUAAUCCUUGCAUUAAUAUUUUAAUAUAGAUUUGAUUUGGAUUGAAAUGAGCAAGAAGAUUCACUGGAAUCUAUCUAAAGAGAUUACUUGUGUGAUUUCAUUUUGCUACAUUAGUAGUCUGUGAUAGAUAUACUCUAUUUGCAGAGUACAUCUACCUUCAAAUCAAGUGUCUUGCCAAAAGGCAAUAUGACAGCUAAGCUUGAAGUUCAUAAAAAACAGCUAUUUGGUUCAGGAAAAAAAUAAAACAACUCACAACUUUUCACUAAAACCAAGCCUGCUCUUCUUUUCCAGAUGGAUUAUAUUGGAUAAAUGUGUUUAUCCCUAUUUUCAAUACUUAAACACACAGACACACACAGAUAAUUUGUAUCUUGAGACCAAUUUCUUUUAUCCGUCCAAUGAAAAAAUUGGACUAGAUACUGUUGUUUUUAAAAAAUAAAAAUAGUUUUCUUUUCCUUUUAUUAAUAAUUCAUGGUUAUGACAGAAAAGAAAGAGAUUUAAAAUAAGUGAAGGUCAUUCUAGAUUUACC
rnacentral:lncRNA from 1 species